ACACCAGCAGGACCCUGCUUAGCAUGGGAUAACUUCUUCCCACUUUGGGCAGCACUCUGGCUCAAAUUUCCUGUCAAGUGUCCAAUUCUCCAGUGCACUUGCACUGAGUGACUUGGGGCAGGACUGCAGAGCUCAGAGAAGAGCUCACAGUGCUGAGGAGUUUUGAGACAGAUCUGUGACUGCCUGCUUUGAGCAGUUCUGGUUUGACACGGGCACCACACUGACAGUGUCCCCAGAUAUUUCAAAAAUUCAUGAACCUGAAAUCAUUGUGAUGAAAUCAAAGAAACUGGAAGAAGGUGGCAGUCCUGGCAAAGCAGCUUGUUUGGCAAGGAAUAUUCAGACAAAGAGCAUCAGCUUGGAGAUGCCCUCUAAGGAGGUCGUGUAUGAACAGAGCACAUCCAUUUUGACACCAGAGGGGCUGUACAAUGCAAUUCAAGUGGUCAGUGUGACAAACGACACAGAGGUGACCUGCACGGCCAAAUUCGACAGCAGCACGAUGACAGCACGGCCAGAAGAGGAGGCUGAAGAACCAGUGGCAGGGCCCAGUGAGAGGGUUUGCAACAGCACAGAGCCCUCAGCACAAGAUGCUGAAGGGCAGAGAGUGAACAUGCUGUCCAUGGCUGUGCUGGGUUUGAGAGUCCUGCUGGCAAAGAGCAUCGCCAUCAACACCCUCAUGAGUAUCAAGCUGUUUCUUCUCUGAGGUGAGGGAGCUCACAGCUAUCAAACACUGGUUCCUAGGCCCAGUUUCAUUAAAUGUAGUUUAAACCCCCUUUUGCAGUUCCAGUCAUGGGGAAUGAAGGCGAGAGGAGCCCAAGGAAGAGCAGGAAAGAACGUGAACCAGCAGCACAAGGGGCUUGAACAAGCAGGGCCAGAGCAGUGACAGAGACCAGCCAGGACACAAGGCAGCAGCUUCCCCUGAAGACAUUGAACACUCUUCACUCCUGCCUGGCCAGAUGAUUUACACUGAACAGUUUGAAAUGCUUUUGCUGUUUGCUCUCCUCUGAGAACUGAGGGGACUGGAUUUAUCCUCAUGCUCCUGCUAAGUAUCUCCCCACUCCUGUGGCAUUUGCACACAAGUGUCCAAGCUGCUUCAAUAGCUUUGAAAACUCCAAUGCUCACUCAAGAUAUCUGGGCUUUUAAAAGCGCCUUUCCCAGGCAUGUUGUGUUACUGCCUGUGCCACUGCAGUAGUGCUGCUGAGGGAAUUCAAGCCCAUUUCUUUAUUAAGUCUGUAUUUCUUAUGCCAAAUAUAUCUCAUGUGCAUUUUAUACUCCUGCAGCAGUGACAAAAAUAAAGUUUUUCUAGACCAAAA